rnacentral:rRNA from 1 species
UGGGGAAUAUUGCGCAAUGGGCGAAAGCCUGACGCAGCGACGCCGCGUGAGGGAUGAAGGUUUUCGGAUCGUAAACCUCUGUCAGAAGGGAAGAAGUUGCAUGGGGCCAAUCACCUGUGCAUUGACGGUACCUUCAAAGGAAGCACCGGCUAACUCCGUGCCAGCAGCCGCGGUAAUACGGAGGGUGCGAGCGUUAAUCGGAAUUACUGGGCGUAAAGCGCACGUAGGCUGUAUGUCAAGUCAAGGGUGAAAUCCCACGGCUCAACCGUGGAACUGCCUUUGAAACUGGCAAACUGGAGUAUGUGAGAGGGCGGCGGAAUUCCUGGUGUAGGAGUGAAAUCCGUAGAUAUCAGGAGGAACAUCAGUGGCGAAGGCGGCCGCCUGGCACAAAAGCUGACGCUGAGGUGCGAAAGCGUGGGGUAGCAAACAGGAUUAGAUACC